CCCCUAGUAACUGCGAGUGAAGCGGGAAAAGCUCAAAUUUAAAAUCUGGCAGCCUUUGGUUGUCCGAGUUGUAAUCUAGAGAAGUGUUAUCCGCGCUGGACCGUGUACAAGUCUCCUGGAAUGGAGCGUCACAGAGGGUGAGAAUCCCGUCUUUGACACGGACUGCCAGGGCUUUGUGAUGCGCUCUCAAAGAGUCGAGUUGUUUGGGAAUGCAGCUCAAAAUGGGUGGUAAAUUCCAUCUAAAGCUAAAUAUUGGCGAGAGACCGAUAGCGAACAAGUACCGUGAGGGAAAGAUGAAAAGAACUUUGGAAAGAGAGUUAAACAGUACGUGAAAUUGCUGAAAGGGAAACGCUUGAAGUCAGUCGCGUUGUCCAGGGAUCAACCUUGCUUUUGCUUGGUGCACUUUCUGGUUGACGGGUCAGCAUCAAUUUUGACUAUUGGAAAAAGAUUAGGGGAAUGUGACAUCUUCGGAUGUGUUAUAGCCCUUGGUUGUAUACAAUGGUUGGGAUUGAGGAACUCAGCACGCCGCAAGGCCGGGUUUUUAACCACGUACGUGCUUAGGAUGCUGGCAUAAUGGCUUUAAUCGACCCGUCUUGAAACACGGACCAAGGAGUCUAACAUGCCUGCGAGUGUUUGGGUGGAAAACCCGAGCGCGUAAUGAAAGUGAAAGUUGAGAUCCCUGUCGUGGGGAGCAUCGACGCCCGGACCAGACCUUUUGUGACGGUUCCGCGGUAGAGCAUGUAUGUUGGGACCCGAAAGAUGGUGAACUAUGCCUGAAUAGGGUGAAGCCAGAGGAAACUCUGGUGGAGGCUCGUAGCGAUUCUGACGUGCA
rnacentral:rRNA from 1 species